rnacentral:rRNA from 1 species
CCUACGGGGGGCUGCAGUGAGGAAUAUUGGUCAAUGGGCGCGAGCCUGAACCAGCCAAGUCGCGUGAGGGAUGAAGGUUCUAUGGAUCGUAAACCUCUUUUAUAAGGGAAUAAAGUGCGGGACGUGUCCCGUUUUGUAUGUACCUUAUGAAUAAGGAUCGGCUAACUCCGUGCCAGCAGCCGCGGUAAUACGGAGGAUCCGAGCGUUAUCCGGAUUUAUUGGGUUUAAAGGGAGCGUAGAUGGAUGUUUAAGUCAGUUGUGAAAGUUUGCGGCUCAACCGUAAAAUUGCAGUUGAUACUGGUUUCCUUGAGUGCAGUUGAGGCAGGCGGAAUUCGUGGUGUAGCGGUGAAAUGCUUAGAUAUCACGAAGAACCCCGAUUGCGAAGGCAGCUUGCUAAACUGUAACUGACGUUCAUGCUCGAAAG